rnacentral:rRNA from 2 species
AGAGUUUGAUCCUGGCUCAGGAUGAACCCCGGCGGUGUGCCUAAUACAUGCAAGUCGAACGCGUUGGCCCAACUGAUUGAACGUGCUUGCACGGACUUGACGUUGGUUUACCAGCGAGUGGCGGACGGGUGAGUAACACGUAGGUAACCUGCCCCAAAGCGGGGGAUAACAUUUGGAAACAGAUGCUAAUACCGCAUAACAAUUUGAAUCGCAUGAUUCAAAUUUAAAAGAUGGUUUCGGCUAUCACUUUGGGAUGGACCUGCGGCGCAUUAGCUUGUUGGUAGGGUAACGGCCUACCAAGGCUGUGAUGCGUAGCCGAGUUGAGAGACUGAUCGGCCACAAUGGAACUGAGACACGGUCCAUACUCCUACGGGAGGCAGCAGUAGGGAAUCUUCCACAAUGGGCGCAAGCCUGAUGGAGCAACACCGCGUGAGUGAAGAAGGGUUUCGGCUCGUAAAGCUCUGUUGUUAGAGAAGAACGUGCGUGAGAGCAACUGUUCACGCAGUGACGUAUCUACCAGA